CAUUACAUUGAUAAGUGAGAUUAUUUUAUUCUUAAUCCCAAGUAAACAUGGUAAAGGUCGAUAUAAUUAAAAAUAUAUAAUGGAUGUUAAACAUGAGAAAAGUGAUAUUUAGUCGGUUUUAUAACAAUGAAAAUGAGAUGAUUGUAUUUUAAUAGUGUAAGACAAUUUUAAUAGUGUAAGACAUGAAAAUACCAUUAAAGAACUAUUAUAGUUGAAAGGAAAUAUAAAACGCCGAAGGAUAAUGUGAAUGAUGACAGUCCACGGCACGUUCGGCAGUUUGAUAUAUAGUGUUGUAUAUAUCGGAUGUACACUAUUAUUUCUGUUGCCGGAGUUAGUUAUUUGCUUAGAGUACUUGGAAGAUGGAGAGAAACAAGUUUCAGAUUUGGCAUUAAAUCUUAAUGAACUUCCAUAUCGCAGAUUUGAAGUGCUUAAACCAUCGAUGGACUGCAGAUUUAGUAACUUGACCAGGUGUCAUGUUAAUCCGGACACAUUUUAUGAUUAUCAGGAACGGUGCUUUAAAAAUUUGUGUCAACAUAACGAGCAAUACCGGUGCUUGAAUGGCCCCAAGAAUAGACCUAUACAUAUAUGUUUGCCUCUUGAGGAAUGCCAGAAACGAUCUCGAGAUAUAGCCACUUAUGAAACAGCUGGGUCUGGGCAUGUGAAUGUAUACAGAAUUGACUGCUCAGUUGGUUACUUUCAGUCCAGUUUGAGGAAUUGUUUUAACAAAUGUGAUAAGGACGAGUCCUUAGUAAUAGUGAUAAACGCUACAGGUCAGAAGCCUGCAAUAGGAUAUUGUAACUCACAAAUAGGGUACUGUAACAGAAAAAAUGUCUUCAUGUUUGAGGUAGGUUCGACUGAAGACGAAUGUAUACACGCAAAAUUGGACAUGAAAAUACAGUGCGACGCUGAAGAGGAAUUAUUGCCAAAUUGCUCGUGUGUGUAUAAAUGCCAACGUGGUGAAAAGAGAGACUGGAGUGAAGCAUUUAUGUGUAGAUCUACAGGAACAAGCGUCAGAAACCACGUAAGUACUGAAGAUGUUACUGAAGUGCCCAAAACUGCCAGCCAACAAACUAGCUACCAGACUAGUCAAAAAGUAAUCACUGGUAUGCACAUCCUUGACGAUGAACUUUCCGUGAAAGAUGACAUGAAACAAAAUACAGACGAUGUUCAAAGUAGCAAAACGAUCGUGACAGUAGGUGACAAGCUGAUUGGUGUAAUUGCAGGCAUGUGUGCAUUUGCAAGUAUUGUCGUUGGCUUAGUUAUGUACUACAAGUACAGGCAUCAAGGACGAGGCACAACAACAAGACUCGUUAGACGAUCCAAAGUUGAUAAUAGAAGAAUCGUCAAUUUAAAUGCAAAAACAAUCAAUAAUCAGUGUGAACUCAUCGCACCUUUAGCUGAAAAGCUUCAAGCUGUAUCGGAGGACAUAACUAACAGUGCAUAAUCCCCUGAGCAACAAAUGGAACAUAUCCAAAUUGCUCUUGCGUUUAUAAGUGCCAGCCUGGUGAGGAGAGGAAUUGGAGUGGAGCUUUUACAUGUAGAUCUACUAGUGAAAGGCACAACAACAAGACUUAUAAAAUGAUCCAAAGUUGAUAAUAGAAUAAUCGUCAACUUAAAUGCAAAAGAAAUCAAUAAUCAGCAUGAACUCACUAUGUCUAUAGCUGAAAAGCUUAAAGCUGUGUUAGAGGACAUAACAAACAGCGCAUAUUGCCCUGAGCAACAAAAUGGAACAUAUCAAGUGUCUGGAUGAGGACCAGCUUGAGAGUGGAAUAAACUCAGACGACCAAACAGCAGUGAAGACAGUAUAAGAAUUUUAACAGAAAGUACGAAGGAAGUGUAACAUCACGAGGAGAGGAGAGGAGAGGAGAGGAGAGUUAUGCCAAUUACUCCUUAUUAUAAGAUUUACAAAUGUCAGAAAUUUUAUUUCCAUAUUAUGUGUAUUUUUGCCUUGAUUAUACUUGGUGGGCAAAUCAUAGAAUUUUUGUUACGCAAAUAGAAUAGAAUGUACAUAGAUUGCUUACCUUUCUACAUAUUUAGGAUGACUUGAAAUUAUUUUAGGAUCUUGCCAUUAUUUUGGUGAUUGCAUUAAAAAUGAUAAUUGUUAUAAUUUGUGAAACCGGCAUUACCCUGUCUUCUUGUCAUUUGUUGAAAUAUUGGACAAGUUGUUGUAAAUGACAACCUUUAGAGAGCAAUGGCCUGACAUUAUUGGUCUAUUUUAUAUAUAUGAAAUGUGUUAUAGCCCUUGCGGUGAUAUCUUAGAAUUGUGAACAUGGUUUGUAAUGUUAUAGGCAGACAAAUUUAAGAUAUUCGAGUUUCUUUUCAUAGACUAAGUGUAAAUAUGUUUAGUGUAUUUUGUUAAAAUGAAUAUUUAGAUGUUAGGAAUGAGAUUUAUGAACUUUAAAACUUUGUUUUCAAAGUAAUAUUGUGAUAUGCUAAAUAUUUCUUCAUUUAUUUAUCGAUAUGUUAAACAUUUUGUAUCUGCAUGUUAGUCAUGUAAAGGUAAUUCACUCACGAGCAAAUUUAUGCUAUUUGUCUUAGUUGUGAAAACAAUUUUUAAGUUUUUAAAAACCUUAUAAUAUACAAUGCGAUGGACAUUUUCUGAACACAUAAUAAUCGUAAUUAAUUAUUAGUGAUUUAAAUAUAUGUUAUAUGUCUAAGUGUAUGAUAUUUUUAUUAUCAUAAAUAGUUUUUUUUUUGUGUUAUGGUUGCGCCUGCAUGUGUAAGUUCAUAAAUGAAAGAAACAUUGUUAAAUGAUUUUGUUAAUUUGAUCUAAGUGAACUGACCUGAAAUUUGAACAUAAAAAUUGACAUGGUAUUGUUGCUUCUAUUACUUAUUGACUUCAUCUCUAAACAUAUAAAACAUAACAAAUAAUAAAGCUUAUAACCAAAAAUAAUAAUAAGACACUAAUUUCAAAGUGAAUGAAAUGUCUUACCCAUCACCAAUAUUUGUACAAGGCUUAUUCUACCUUCUUGUAGGAUUAAGGAGAUAAAACUCUCUGUCAAUGAAAAUAAAUAUGAAGGACAUUGAGUUAAUUCUAAGUCUGAUAUCAAUUCUGUGAUUUUGUUAUCUCAAGCAGGGAAUACUGUAUAACAUGCAGUAAAAUUUAGUAACAGGGGAUUAUCCCUAUAAGUUUUGUUAAAAUAGUUGCGAUAGGUGUUCAUUUCAUUUCUGUCAGUGAUGUAUAUCUUCAAUAAAAUACUGUAGAUUUG
rnacentral:misc_RNA from 1 species